rnacentral:rRNA from 1 species
CCUACGGGAGGCUGCAGUGGGGAAUAUUGGACAAUGGGCGAAAGCCUGAUCCAGCCAUGCCGCGUGUGUGAAGAAGGCCUUCGGGUUGUAAAGCACUUUCAGUGGGGAAGAAAGCCUUGGGGCUAAUACCCUCGAGGAAGGACAUCACCCACAGAAGAAGCACCGGCUAACUCCGUGCCAGCAGCCGCGGUAAUACGGAGGGUGCGAGCGUUAAUCGGAAUUACUGGGCGUAAAGCGCGCGUAGGCGGUCUGAUAAGCCGGUUGUGAAAGCCCCGGGCUCAACCUGGGAACGGCAUCCGGAACUGUCAGGCUAGAGUGCAGGAGAGGAAGGUAGAAUUCCCGGUGUAGCGGUGAAAUGCGUAGAGAUCGGGAGGAAUACCAGUGGCGAAGGCGGCCUUCUGGACUGACACUGACGCUGAGGUGCGAAAGCGUGGGUAGCAAACAGGAUUACAUACCCGAGUAGUC